UCCCAUAGUGGUCGGCCAAACCAGAAGAGAAGAGAAACCAAGGAAGAACAAACCCUAGGUGGGGAAAAUCAAAGAGAAAGUGUUGGAAUUCAAGGAUUUGAUCAAGCAAAGGUAAAAUUUCUUUGAUUUUACUAGUGAUUUACCUUACCCAUGCAUUUCUCCUUAAUUUCCAUGGUUGGAUUGUAUGUUUUCAUGGAGAAAUCAUGGCUGGGCGAUUGGGUUUGGUGAGAGAAAUGAUGUUGGAAUUGUUUGAUUUUGAGUUAUGUUGGUGUUUAGAGUUAGUUAAGCAUGUUUAAAUACAAAACAACAAGAAAAGAAUCCAUUUUCCCCAUGAACCUUCAAUGGCCGAACCCUAUCUGUAGUGUAGAAGUAAUGAAUUGAUUUUGUGAUCAAGUGAAUUGGUUGAAAAAUUGAUGAAAUGAUGAUUUAUGGCGAGAAAAUGGAAUGAAAAAAUUUUUAGUGAUAGUGCACCACAAUGGCCGAAGUUUUCAAGAAGAAUUGUGAGGGUUGUUGGGCUGAAUUUUAGAUUAUUGGAAUUGUAUUUAGUGAAUUGAAAUAUUAGAAAUGAAAUAGAGCAAUUUGGAGCCAAAUCGGACACAAUUGUCAUUUAAUCGGGUAAUAGGUCGAAUUAGGUCAGCACCGCAUUUAAGUGAUAGUCGGAUAAGUUGCAUAUCAUAUCAUGCAUAUACACCGAGCCUGAAUUGAUUUUAUAAUGGUCAAGCAUUAAUGUGGUGAAUUAUGUAUUAUACAUUGUGGAUAGGUGGUGAGUAAAUUACACUGGUAAAAGUACAGAGAUUGUCCUUAAAGACUGGGAUUAGGAAUCCCAGAGUACAUCGACUCCUAGAACUGUGAGUAACCUUACUAUCUUCUUAAUUAUCUAGAGUGGUUUUAUCCGAUUUUGUAGAUUUUAUGGAAAAUGAGUUUAAAUGGUAAAUCUUUUUGUUUUACAAACAAAACGUAUUUAAAUAAAAUGAUUUUAUAAAUUGUCUUGAAAUUGAAUGAUGACUUUGAAAAUAGAGUAACUGGAGACCACUUGAUGUGUUGUAAAUUUAUAGUUUUAAAUUGAAUGGCUUAUGACAAUAUAUGAGUAUGAAUGGCUAAACUGAUUUUGGUGUUAGAAUUAUUUGUACUGUGUAUUCAGCCUUGAGAGGCUAGGUUGCGAUAAAUUGUCAUGUCAUGCAGAAAAAGAUUUUAUAAAUCAGGUGGUAGAUAAAAUAAUCCAUAAUCCCUACAGUGGAGGUUCUGUGGACCAACCUAAGAGAGGGGGCACAGAAUCAGAUAUACCUUACCUUGAUCGGAGAGCCGUGUAGAUUGUAUCUCUGGAGGUAAAGAUUUGAGUGCACUUCACGUGGACCACCGCGUGAGAGUGAGACUCAGCCAACGCCAAGGCAUGGCUAGAUUUUCAAAUGUAAAAAUAUGUUCACAUGUGUACUACACUGAACAGCCU
rnacentral:lncRNA from 1 species